AGAAAGAUGGACACCAUGACCACCGCGUUACCAACCAGCGACAUGAUGGCAAUGAUCCAAACUCCACAGCGGAUGAGCCAGCUCUCAAACAGAUAAAGACAUGGCUGGAAUGGGCCUGGAUAAAAAAACUAUCCUGCAUUUGGGUCUGUUUUAUCCCCGUGUCCCUGACAGAACCUGUGAGGAGCCUGGAGUUUAUCCCAUGGGAUUCGGAGUAUGAGGCAGGGAACAUCCUGGAUGUGGUGCCAGUCCAUCAUAGGGAAUGAGCUCUUGCAGGUCUACAUUACCAGCCAGCUUCAGGUGAGUUAACAUGUGCAUCUCAACCAGAGGUAAAGAUGAGAGCUGAUUGGAUGUCAGGUCACUGUGAAAAAGUGAAAUGAUACAAAUACACCAUUAUAUAUUGGUCAAAAGUAAUAAUUAAUACACAGACAGACAACAGACAGAAAACAUAAUACCUCCAACACCUGAUGGCAUAACUAGAUCAUUUGGCACCUAUUAAGUAUUUCAGUGGAAAUCUAGCUGCACCUGUCAAGAACCUACAACAUUGGCGAUAAUCCGAAUGAUCCAAACCCAUGCAAAAAUGGUUCAAUGAUCACAGAAUCAAGCUUUUGAACGGUCUCCUGAUCUAAACUCCCACCUGAAAGCUUGUGCAAUGAUCUGAACAGGAGAGUCUCGACACGGGAAGACCUAGGAACCAAUAGAAUCUGGAAAUUAUGGAAGACUUUAUGCUGUGAAGUUGGAUAAGGAAGGUUCCACAAAGUAAAAAAAAAGCUUUUUUUUAUGUUCCUAGAAUACAUAUACUUAAAUUAAAGGUUAUUUUUUUCUGAUAUUUUCAGGUGUGAUUAAUAGCCAAAUUAACCACAGACCAUUUUUUCACCAACGAGUGAUGCCAAUUGUUUUGGAGUUGGCUGUGUUUAAUGUUAGCACUUAAAUUAUGUUCAUGACUGUGUACUGUAAGCUGUUGGUCACGGUUCA